rnacentral:rRNA from 1 species
GAGUGGCGGACGGGUGAGUAAUGUCUGGGAAACUGCCUGAUGGAGGGGGAUAACUACUGGAAACGGUAGCUAAUACCGCAUAACGUCGCAAGACCAAAGAGGGGGACCUUCGGGCCUCUUGCCAUCGGAUGUGCCCAGAUGGGAUUAGCUAGUAGGUGGGGUAACGGCUCACCUAGGCGACGAUCCCUAGCUGGUCUGAGAGGAUGACCAGCCACACUGGAACUGAGACACGGUCCAGACUCCUACGGGAGGCAGCAGUGGGGAAUAUUGCACAAUGGGCGCAAGCCUGAUGCAGCCAUGCCGCGUGUAUGAAGAAGGCCUUCGGGUUGUAAAGUACUUUCAGCGGGGAGGAAGGGAGUAAAGUUAAUACCUUUACUCAUUGACGUUACCCGCAGAAGAAGCACCGGCUAACUCCGUGCCAGCAGCCGCGGUAAUACGGAGGGUGCAAGCGUUAAUCGGAAUUACUGGGCGUAAAGCGCACGCAGGCGGUUUGUUAAGUCAGAUGUGAAAUCCCCGGGCUCAACCUGGGAACUGCAUCUGAUACUGGCAAGCUUGAGUCUCGUAGAGGGGGGUAGAAUUCCAGGUGUAGCGGUGAAAUGCGUAGAGAUCUGGAGGAAUACCGGUGGCGAAGGCGGCCCCCUGGACAAAGACGGACGCUAAGGUGCGAAAGCGUGGGGAGCAAACAGGAUUAGAU